UACGUAGGGGGCAAGCGUUGUCCGGAAUCAUUGGGCGUAAAGAGCGCGUAGGCGGCCCAGUAAGUCCGCUCUGAAAGUCAGGGGCUCAACCCCUGAAUGCGGGUGGAUACUGCUGGGCUAGAGUCCGGAAGAGGCGAGUGGAAUUCCUGGUGUAGCGGUGGAAUGCGCAGAUAUCAGGAGGAACACCAAUAGCGAAGGCAGCUCGCUGGGACGGUACUGACGCUGAGGCGCGAAAGCGUGGGGAGCGAACAGG
rnacentral:rRNA from 1 species